UACACGUCAGUUUUAGGUCCGCCGGCCGCAGCCGGUCACGUUUAAAGGGCCAGUACCCCGCGUUUCCUCUGGGCUACCCCUGGAGCGGGGAAGAUGGCUCUUGGAAGCAACGGGGAAGGCAGGAGGGACGAGGGUGAGGAGCCUCUCCUGCUCGCGGUAGAAAACCUGUUGCCAACGUAGUCGGAAGUCAAGAGUAUACCCCAUGGGGCUAAGGACACAGAGAUAUAUGUAUACAAGGCAUCCACACAAUGAGUCUGUGCCUUAAAGAAGGACAAAUGGCAAUUGGAGCACAUGGAAAGAGCAAUUAGUUGUGACCAGGGAAGUGCCUAAAAAGUCCAUGAGACAGCUUUGGAUAGUCUGGGGCAAUGACACUUGCAGGACCCUAUCUGUGGCUCUUUCCAAGCAGGUGAGUCACUUUUUCCUUUUCUUCCUGCUUCUCCCCUGACAGUGUAUCAGAAAU